AUAUGGCAAAUGUGAGAUGCAGUGUAUGGAACAUCAAUAUUCUAGUAUGAGAAAUUAACGAUUUAAGUCCUUCUUAAAUGAGGCCAUUUACCCAUAGAGGGUGCCAGGCCCGUAUAACGUUAAUGAUUACUAGAUGGUGUUUCCAAAGAGUCGUGUUGCUUGAUAGUGCAGCACUAAGUGGGUGGUAAACUCCAUCUAAAACUAAAUAUAACCAUGAGACCGAUAGUAAACAAGUACCGUGAGGGAAAGUUGAAAAGAACUCUGAAUAGAGAGUUAAAUAGUACGUGAAACUGCUUAGAGGUUAAGCCCGAUGAACCUGAAUAUCCGUUAUGGAAAAUUCAUCAUUAGAAUUGUAAUAUUUAAACAAUAUUAUAAUAAUAGUGUGCAUUUUUUCCAUAUAAGGACAUUGUAAUCUAUUAGCAUAUUAAUUUAUCAUAAAAUUAUGGCAUAUAGUUUAUUUCAAUUAAAAUGCUUGCGUUUUAACAUGAAAUAAAAGCUGUAAAUUUGAUAAAGUGCUGAUAGAUUUAUAUCAAUACAGUGCGUUAAUUUUUCGGAAUUAUAUAAUGGCAUGAUUAUCAUUGAUUUUUGUGUUUAUUAUAUGCACUUGUAUGAUUAACAAUGCGUAAGAUUCAGGAUACCUUCGGGACCCGUCUUG
rnacentral:rRNA from 1 species